UACGGAGGAGGCAAGCGUUAUACGGAAUUAUUGGGCGUAAAGCGUCCGCAGGUGGCACCUCAAGUCUGCUGUCAAAGACCGGGGCUUAACCCCAGAAAGGCAGUGGAAACUGAAGUGCUAGAGUGCAGUAGGGGUAGAGGGAAUUCCCGGUGUAGCGGUGAAAUGCGUAGAGAUCGGGAAGAACAUCGGUGGCGAAAGCGCUCUGCUGGACUGCAACUGACACUCAGGGACGAAAGCUAGGGGAGCGAAUGGG
rnacentral:rRNA from 1 species